AAAAAAAAAAAAAAAAUCAACUAAUUACUUCAAGCCCAUUCUGAUUAUGUAGAUAGCCUCCCUUAUCAUCAACUGAUGAUGGACACUAUCUGCGUCUACAAAAUACCUUCGAAGAAUAAUUUGGGCUAAGCCAGGCAUGGUCUUGGCGACUUGUGGGAUUUAUAAUGUGACUACUGAUUCCUUACUACAUGCUCAGAGAGUUCCACGCACAAUCCCCGGUAACACUCAAAACGUUCUCUGCAGUAGAUUGCCUUCUUGUCUCUACCUUUGCAGUUAAGAGGCAGCCUCAGGAGGUCACGUGGUCGGGGCGGGGGCGGGGGCGGGGGCGGGUACCGGGCUGCGAACAUUCUCAUUCUACGGCCCCUCCCAGUCAGCUUCUCCGGUCUCUGCGUUGUCCCCUCUUCUGAUGUGAGGACAUUCUGCCACUCCGGAUCUCCUUCUCCUUGAGCUCCCUGAGCGUUGAUUCCUCUGUCUGGCCCUCCUGGCUUUAGGAAGUAGCUGCUCCCACCUGGUGCCACUUUCCCAGGCAUUUGCUGCCACCUAGCGGGCUCACUGGUUUUCACCACGAUCCCCCUAGAAGGCAGAUUCCCGAGUUUGCAGGAGAGCAAUGGGUCUACCCGGACUCCAGAUUUUUGUAGAAUCCUGGGAGCGAGGACCUAGAAGAUUUCUGAGAACCUCGAAGCUCCCCCACCACCUCCCCUCUCCUCUCUCUGUCUCCCAUCAAAAAGAGCAAACCUUCAAGAGACAGCAAUCAAACACGACAAAACAAAAUACGGUAGGACCAGGCAAAAACCCUCACACGGAAGCUGAACAAGGAAACCCAACAAGGAGGAGAAGAGUCCCAAGAGCGGGCAAAAGAGUCAGAGACAGACCCGCUCCCGCGGUUAGGAGUCCCAC